UUCUGUGAUGACACUCCUGUCUGUCCCAUAAAAUCUUGAGGUUCAGCAGUGACAGUGGCCUUCCUUCAAAGGGCUGUAGUAGCCAUGAAAGGCUUUCUCUCAACUUGCUCUACUCAGAAAACAUCAUCUGAGGUAUGGCUCUCUGAGUCAAGCAAACCUGAUCUGUGCUUCUUCAGGGUAAAAACUCUUUGCUUUGCCAGUCCCCAUCCUGCUGUCCAUCUGCUUGAGAAAUGUGGGAAGAGAGGCUGUCAUUGAAGACAGAACCCACUGGAGUGCUGGCCUGGAUUUGGGAGGAGCCAAUUAGCCUGGAGCUGUGAGAUUUUUCCUGUCAGAAAUCCAUGAUGGAGAUGUUCUUCCUGGUUGUCCCAAAGGGAAGGUGGGACCAGGUAAGAAUAGAAAUGGGAUUGUUUUGGCUGCUGUUGGAUGUUGUUUUCUCUUUUCAAGAUGUUCCUCUGAUUGAUGUUUUCACAGUA